rnacentral:tRNA from 1 species
AUUUAUAUAGUUUAAUUAAAACAAUACAUUUUCAUUGUAUAAAUAAUAUAUUUUAUAUUUAUAAAUA